rnacentral:rRNA from 1 species
CACGUAGGGGGCGAGCGUUGCCCGGAUUUAUUGGGCGUAAAGAGCUCGUAGGCGGUUUCGUAAGUCGGAUGUGAAAACUCCAGGCUCAACUUGGAGACGCCAUUCGAUACUGCGAUGACUUGAGUCCGGUAGGGGAGUGUGGAAUUCCUGGUGUAGCGGUGAAAUGCGCAGAUAUCAGGAGGAACACCAAUGGCGAAGGCAGCUCGCUGGGACGUGACUGACGCUGAGACGCGAAAGCGUGGGGAGCAAACAGG